ACGAACGCUGGCGGCGUGCUUAACACAUGCAAGUCGAACGGAAAGGCCCUGCUUUUGUGGGGUGCUCGCGUGGCGAACGGGUGAGUAACACGUGAGUAACCUGCCCUUGACUUUGGGAUAACUUCAGGAAACUGGGGCUAAUACCGGAUAGGAGCUCCUGCUGCAUGGUGGGGGUUGGAAAGUUUCGGCGGUUGGGGAUGGACUCGCGGCUUAUCAGCUUGUUGGUGGGGUAGUGGCUUACCAAGGCUUUGACGGGUAGCCGGCCUGAGAGGGUGACCGGCCACAUUGGGACUGAGAUACGGCCCAGACUCAUACGGGAGGCAGCAGUGGGGAAUAUUGCACAAUGGGCGGAAGCCUGAUGCAGCAACGCCGCGUGCGGGAUGACGGCCUUCGGGUUGUAAACCGCUUUCGCCUGUGACGAAGCGUGAGUGACGGUAAUGGGUAAAGAAGCACCGGCUAACUACGUG
rnacentral:rRNA from 1 species